GACGAACGCUGGCGGCGUGCUUAACACAUGCAAGUCGAACGGAAAGGCCCUGCUUUUGUUGGGUGCUCGAGUGGCGAACGGGUGAGUAACACUUGAGUAACCUGCCCGUUACUUUGGGAUAACUUCAGGAAACUGGGGCUAAUACCGGAUAGGAGCUCCUGCUGCAUGGUGGGGGUUGGAAAGUUUGGGCGGUUGGGGAUGGACGCGCGGCUUAUCAGCUUGUUGGUUGGGUAGUGGCUUGCCAAGGCUUUGACGGGUAGCCGGCCUGAGAGGGUGACCGGCCACAUUGGGACUGAGAUACGGCCGAGACUCCUACGGGAGGCAGCAGUGGGGAAUAUUGCACAAUGGGCGGAAGCCUGAUGCAGCAACGCCGCGUGCGGGAUGACGGCCUUCGGGUUGUAAACCGCUUUCGCCUGUGACGAAGCGUGAGUGACGGUAAUGGGUAAAGAAGCACCGGCUAACUACGUG
rnacentral:rRNA from 1 species